CUACGGGUGGCACCAGUGAGGAAUUUUGCGCAAUGGGGGUAACCCUGACGCAGCAACGCCGCGUGAGUGAUGAAGGCUUUCGGGUCGUAAAGCUCUGUCAAGUGGGAAGAAUAUACGAAAUGCUAAUACCAUUUUGUACUGACGGUACCACUGAAGGAAGCACCGGCUAACUCCGUGCCAGCAGCCGCGGUAAUACGGGGGGUGCAAGCGUUAUUCGGAAUUAUUGGGCGUAAAGAGUACGUAGGCGGCCGCUUAAGUCAGAUGUGAAAGCCCGGGGCUCAACCCCGGAAGUGCAUUUGAAACUAAGUGGCUUGAGUAUGGGAGAGGGAAGUGGAAUUCCUGGUGUAGAGGUGAAAUUCGUAGAUAUCAGGAGGAACACCGGUGGCGAAGGCGACUUCCUGGACCAAUACUGACGCUGAGGUGCGAAGGCGUGGGGAGCAAACAGGAUUAGAUACCCUGGUAGUC
rnacentral:rRNA from 1 species